UGGGGAAUAUUGCACAAUGGAGGGAACUCUGAUGCGGCAACGCCGCGUGCGGGAUGACGGCCUUCGGGUUGUAAACCGCUUUCAGCCAUGACGAAGCUUUUGUGACGGUAGUGGUAGAAGAAGCACCGGCUAACUACGUGCCAGCAGCCGCGGUGAUACGUAGGGUGCGAGCGUUGUCCGGAAUUAUUGGGCGUAAAGAGCUUGUAGGCGGUUUGUCGCGUCGAAAGUGUAAACUCAGUGCUUAACGCUGAGCCUGCUUUCGAUACGGGCUGACUAGAGGAGGGUAGGGGAGAAUGGAAUUCCCGGUGGAGCGGUGGAAUGCGCAGAUAUCGGGAGGAACACCAGUGGCGAAGGCGGUUCUCUGGACCUUUCCUGACGCUGAGAAGCGAAAGCGUGGGUAGCAAACAGG
rnacentral:rRNA from 1 species